GCAAACUUGGUCAUUUAGAGGAAGUAAAAGUCGUAACAAGGUUUCCGUAGGUGAACCUGCGGAAGGAUCAUUCACAAUAAAUGGUUUUUUUAUAAUUCAUAAAAAAAAAAAAAUCCUUUACCACCUUGUGUGCAAUGUAUGAGAAAAGGGGCCAUUUGGCUUCCUUUUUUCUAUAUUAUCAACUCUUUGCUUUGAACCAGUUUGUCUGAAAUAAACAUAUUCUUUGAAUAACUUAAUUCAAAAAUACAACUUUCAACAACGGAUCUCUUGGCUCUCGCAUCGAUGAAGAACGCAGC
rnacentral:misc_RNA from 1 species